rnacentral:rRNA from 1 species
GGUAAACGCUGGCGGCGUGCCUAAAACAUGCAAGUCGAACGGGCAGUUCUCUUCGGAGGGCUGUCAGUGGCAGACGGCUGAGUAACGCGUGGGUGACGUGUCCAUAGGUGGGGAAUAACUGCCCGAAAGGGUGGCUAAUACCGCAUACGCCUGGUGAUUCGGUUUCACCAGGGAAAGCAGAUGAUGUGCCGAUGGAGCGGCCCGCGACCGAUUAGCUAGCUGGUGGGAACGCCUACCAGGGCGACGAUCGGUAGCUGGUCUCAGAGGAUGAUCAGCCAGACUGGGACUGAGACACGGCCCAGACUCCUACGGGAGGCAGCAGUUAGGAAUUUGGGCAAUGGGCGGAAGCCUGACCCAGCAACGCCG